UACGUAGGGUGCAAGCGUUUGUCCGGAAUUAUUGGGCGUAAAGAGCUCGUAGGCGGUUUGUCGCGUCUGCUGUGAAAACCCGAGGCUCAACCUCGGGCCUGCAGUGGGUACGGGGCAGACUAGAGUGCGGUAGGGGGAGAUUGGAAUUCCUGGUGUAGCGGUGGAAUGCGCAGAUAUCAGGAGGAACACCAAUGGCGAAGGCAGAUCUCUGGGCCGUAACUGACGCUGAGGAGCGAAAGCAUGGGGAGCGAACAGG
rnacentral:rRNA from 1 species